rnacentral:rRNA from 1 species
GACGAACGCUGGCGGCGUGCUUAACACAUGCAAGUCGAACGGAAAGGCCCUGCUUUUGUGGGGUGCUCGAGUGGCGAACGGGUGAGUAACACGUGAGUAACCUGCCCUUGACUUUGGGAUAACUUCAGGAAACUGGGGCUAAUACCGGAUAGGAGCUCCUGCUGCAUGGUGGGGGUUGGAAAGUUUCGGCGGUUGGGGCUGGACUGGCGGCUUAUCAGCUUGUUGGUGGGGUAGUGGCUUACCAAGGGUUUGACGGGUAGCCGGCCCGAGAGGGUGAACGGCGACAUUAGGACUGAGAGACGGCGCAGACGCCUAUGGGAGGCAGUGGGGGGGAGCAUGACACAGUGGGCGAAAGUCUGUUGAAGCAACGCUGCGUGCGGGAUGACGGCCUUUGGGUUGUGAAACGCUGUCGCCUGUGACGAAGCGUGAGUGACGGUAAUGGGUAAAGAAGCACCGGCUAACUACGUG